CUAGUUGGUGGGGUCAAAGCCCACCAAGGCGACGAUCGAUAGCUGGUCUGAGAGGACGAUCAGCCACACUGGGAUUGAGAACGGCCCAGACUCCUACGGGGGGCAGCAGUGAGGAAUUUUCGUCAAUGGGGGCAACCCUGAACGAGCAACGCCGCGUGCAGGAUGAAGGUUUUCGGAUCGUAAACUGCUUUUCUCUGGGACGAGCAAGGACGGUACCAGAGGAAUCAGCCCCGGCUAACUACGUGCCAGCAGCCGCGGUAAUACGUAGGGGGCAAGCGUUGUCCGGAUUUAUUGGGCGUAAAGGGUCCGCAGGCGGUUUGGUAAGUUUGACGUGACAGUUCCUGGCUCAACUGGGAAAGUGCGUUGGAAACUGCCAGACUUGAGGGCUUCAGAGGGAUGCGGAAUUCCGGGUGGAGUGGUGAAAUGCGUAGAUAUCCGGAGGAACACCAAAGGCGAAGGCAGCAUCCUGGGAAGUCUCUGACGCUGAUGGACGAAAGCUAGGGGAGCGAACGGGAUUAGAUACCCCGGUAGUCCUAGCCGUAAACGAUGACCACUAGACGUAAGAGGUAUCGACCCCCCUUGUGUCGUAGUUAACACGAUAAGUGGUCCGCCUGGGGAGUACGGUCGCAAGAUUAAAACUCAAAGGAAUUGACG
rnacentral:rRNA from 1 species